rnacentral:rRNA from 1 species
AGUGAACGCUGGCGGUAGGCCUAACACAUGCAAGUCGAACGGCAGCACAGUAAGAGCUUGCUCUUACGGGUGGCGAGUGGCGGACGGGUGAGGAAUACAUCGGAAUCUACUUUUUCGUGGGGGAUAACGUAGGGAAACUUACGCUAAUACCGCAUACGACCUACGGGUGAAAGCAGGGGAUCUUCGGACCUUACGCGAUUGAAUGAGCCGAUGUCGGAUUAGCUAGUUGGCGGGGUAAAGGCCCACCAAGGCGACGAUCCGUAGCGGGUCUGAGAGGAUGGUCAGGCACAAUGGGAAUGAGACACGGUGCAGCCCCCUACGGGAGCCAGCCAUGGGGAGUAUUUGACGAUGGGCGCAGGCUUGAUCCAGCCUUUCCUCGUGAGUGAAGAAGGCCUUCGUGUUGUAACGCCCUUUUGUUGGGAAAGAAAAGCAGCAGGCUAAUACCCCGCUGUCCUGACGCUACCAAAAGAAUAAGCACCGGCUAACUUCG